rnacentral:rRNA from 1 species
GGGGAAUCUUCCGCAAUGGGCGAAAGCCUGACGGAGCAACGCCGCGUGAGUGAAGACGGCCUUCGGGUUGUAAAGCUCUGUUAUAUGGGACGAACGGGUGUAUGGUCAAUACCCAUACGCCGUGACGGUACCGUAAGAGAAAGCCACGGCUAACUACGUGCCAGCAGCCGCGGUAAUACGUAGGUGGCAAGCGUUGUCCGGAAUCAUUGGGCGUAAAGGGCGCGCAGGCGGUUCGGUAAGUCGGUCUUAAAAGUGCGGGGCUUAACCCCGUGAUGGGAUUGAAACUGCCGGACUGGAGUGUCGGAGAGGAAAGCAGAAUUCCUAGUGUAGCGGUGAAAUGCGUAGAUAUUAGGAGGAAUACCAGUGGCGAAAGCGGCUUUCUGGACGACAACUGACGCUGAGGCGCGAAAGCCAGGGGAGCAAACGGGAUUAGAUACCCCGGUA